rnacentral:rRNA from 1 species
UACAGAGGGCGCGAGCGUUGUCCGGAAUCACUGGGCGUAAAGGGCGCGUAGGUGGCCACCAUAAGGCCGCGGUGAAAGUUCGGGGCUCAACCUCGGAAUUGCCUUCGAUACUGUUAGUCUUGAGUCCGGGAGAGGUGAGUGGAAUUCCUAGUGUAGAGGUGAAAUUCGUAGAUAUUAGGAAGAACACCAGUGGCGAAGGCGGCUCACUGGCCCGGUACUGACGCUCAUGUGCGAAAGCGUGGGGAGCAAACAGG